rnacentral:rRNA from 1 species
GAUGAACGCUAGCGGCAGGCUUAACACAUGCAAGUCGAGGGGCAGCGCGGGAUAGCAAUAUCCUGGCGGCGACCGGCGGAAGGGUGCGUAACGCGUGAGCGACAUGCCCGUUGCCCGGGGACAACCGGUGGAAACGCCGACUAAUCCCCGAUGGGAUAUUGUGCCGCAUGGCACGAUAUUGAAAGUUACGGCGGCGACGGAUUGGCUCGCGUCCGAUUAGCUGGUUGGCGGGGUAACGGCCCACCAAGGCUGCGAUCGGUAGGGGUUCUGAGAGGAAGGCCCCCCACAAUGGGACUGAGACACGGCCCAUACUCCUACGGGAGGCAGCAGUGAGGAAUAUUGGUCAAUGGGCGGAAGCCUGAACCAGCCAUGCCGCGUGCGGGAAGGAGGCCCUAUGGGCUGUGAACCACUUUUGCCUGGGGGCAAUAAGGGCGUCGCGCACGUCCGAUGAGAGUACCAGGCGAAUAAGCAUCGGCUAACUCCGUG